GUUAUAUGUGAGGAUACGAUUCCAUCAGAGGUCUUCAAGAAGAAUUCUGAAUGCCCUGCCUGGAGAUACUGAACCUGGGGUCUUCUGUAUGCAAAGCACGUACUCAUCCACUGAUGCAGAUGAAAACCCUCCGCUCAUGGACAUUGACAAAUAAAUAAAUUAUUGUGAGCAAUUUAGAGACUUGGGAAAAGAAGUUCAAGGGGAGACCGAAUAUUUCCAUAUGGAGAAACACCCAGCCUCCAGGUGAAAUACUGUUGCUGCUUUACAUCUGUGCACAUCACAAAGUGAUUAUAAGAAAGAACAAAAGAACUGUCCCACUCUAGACUCAAGUCUUGCUAGCCAAUAGGAGUGUCAUAAAAAAGAUGUGUCGAAGCUAAAAGUUUAUACAACCAAAGAGAAGCAGAUA